UGGGGAAUUUUGGACAAUGGGCGAAAGCCUGAUCCAGCAAUGCCGCGUGUGUGAAGAAGGCCUUCGGGUUGUAAAGCACUUUUGUCCGGAAAGAAAUGGCUCUGGUUAAUACCUGGGGUCGAUGACGGUACCGGAAGAAUAAGGACCGGCUAACUACGUGCCAGCAGCCGCGGUAAUACGUAGGGUCCAAGCGUUAAUCGGAAUUACUGGGCGUAAAGCGUGCGCAGGCGGUUGUGCAAGACCGAUGUGAAAUCCCCGAGCUUAACUUGGGAAUUGCAUUGGUGACUGCACGGCUAGAGUGUGUCAGAGGGGGGUAGAAUUCCACGUGUAGCAGUGAAAUGCGUAGAGAUGUGGAGGGAAUACCGAUGGCGAAGGCAGCCCCCUGGGAUAACACUGACGCUCAUGCACGAAAGCGUGGGGAGCAAACAGGAUUAGAUACUCUGGUAGUCCACGCCCUAAAACGAUGUCAACUAGUUGUUGGGGAUUCAUUUCCUU
rnacentral:rRNA from 1 species